GAAUCAGGGUUGAGAACUACCAGCCAGUGAAGCUCUGUAUUUCAUUCUGCCUCUUCUGUAUCAUAUAAAACUAAGGCCCCAGAGGAAGGGGGCAUCUCAGAUCAUGAGGGAGAUCUGAGGUCUUCUUCAUUAGAGGGGGCCAUGGACUGUUUAAUGAAUUGACAUUGGUUUGGAGCUCUGCCUCAGUGGUUUUUCUUGAAGAUUGGACAAUUGUGUACUUACAGUCUGUGUGCAGGGUGGAGAGUGGGCUCCCAGUUUGGGAGGGUCUUGAAGACUGAGCCAAGGUAGUCCAUACCCUACCUUCUACCAUGCUGGAAUGACAUUGAUUAUGAUUCCAGGAACACAUGGCCAGUGUUUAAGGCUAUAUCUUUGUGACCUCCUUGUGUUCCUGUGGCUGUGUUCCUAAGAGGCCUUCCCAGAAAGUUGAGGCCCUUCAGGUGGGAGAGUCAUUGAAGUCCAACAGCAAGACAAAAGUCAAGACAA